rnacentral:rRNA from 1 species
GACGAACCGAGCGAACGUUGUUCGGAAUCACUGGGCUUAAAGGGCGCGUAGGCGGGCUGUCAAGUCUGGGGUGAAAUCCCACGGCUCAACCGUGGAACUGCCUUAGAUACUGACGGCCUCGAGGGAGAUAGGGGCGAGCGGAACUGUGAGUGGAGCGGUGAAAUGCGUUGAUAUUCACAGGAACUCCGGUGGCGAAGGCGGCUCGCUGGAUCUUUUCUGACGCUGAGGCGCGAAAGCUAGGGGAGCAAACAGG